CCCUUAGAUGUUCUGGGCCGCACGCGCGCUACACUGACGGAUUCAACGAGCUUACAACCUUGGCCGAAAGGUCUGGGUAAUCUCCAAAAUCCGUCGUGAUGGGGAUAGAUUAUUGCAAUUAUUAAUCUUCAACGAGGAAUGCCUAGUAAGCGCAAGUCAUCAGCUUGCGUUGAUUACGUCCCUGCCCUUUGUACACACCGCCCGUCGCUCCUACCGAUUGAAUGGUCCGGUGAAGCGUUUGGACUAUGGUUUUCUGAUGGUCCGCCGUUGGAUUACCGUGGGAAGUUCGUUAAACCUUGUCAUUUAGAGGAAGGAGAAGUCGUAACA
rnacentral:rRNA from 1 species